UAGGGAAUCUUCGGCAAUGGACGAAAGUCUGACCGAGCAACGCCGCGUGAGUGAAGAAGGUUUUCGGAUCGUAAAACUCUGUUGUUAGAGAAGAACAAGGACGUUAGUAACUGAACGUCCCCUGACGGUAUCUAACCAGAAAGCCACGGCUAACUACGUGCCAGCAGCCGCGGUAAUACGUAGGUGGCAAGCGUUGUCCGGAUUUAUUGGGCGUAAAGCGAGCGCAGGCGGUUUCUUACGUCUGAUGUGAAAGCCCCCGGCUCAACCGGGGAGGGUGAUUGGAAACUGGGAGACUUGAGUGCAGAAGAGGAGAGUGGAAUUCCAUGUGUAGCGGUGAAAUGCGUAGAUAUAUGGAGGAACACCAGUGGCGAAGGCGGCUCUCUGGACUGUAACUGACGCUGAGGAUCGAAAGCGUGGGGAGCAAACAGG
rnacentral:rRNA from 1 species